rnacentral:rRNA from 1 species
ACGCUCAUGCACGAAAGCGUGGGUAUCGAACAGGAAUUAGAUACCCUGGUAGUCCACGCGGUAAACGAUGAUAACUAGUUAUUCGGCUAAAAUUGGUAGCUGAGUGACCGAGCGAAAGCGUUAAGUUAUCCACCUGGGGAGUACGCCGGCAACGGUGAAACUCAAAGGAAUUGACGGGGGCCCGCACAAGCGGAGGAACAUGUGGUUUAAUUCGAUGAUACGCGAGGAACCUUACCCAGGCUCAAACGCAUCGUGCUACGCCCUGAAAGGGGCGGUUCUUCGGACGCGAUGCGAGGUGCUGCAUGGUUGUCGUCAGCUCGUGCCGUGAGGUGUCGGCUUAAGUGCCAUAACGAGCGCAACCCCCAUCUUCAGUUGCCCCCGGGUGAAGCCGGGCACUCUGGAGAGACUGCCGGCGCAAGCUGUGAGGAAGGCGGGGAUGACGUCAAAUCAGCACGGCCCUUACGUCCGGGGCGACACACGUGUUACAAUGGCGGGGCUACAGAGGGGAGCCAGGCGGUGACGCCGAGCUGAUCCCGAAAACCCGUCUCAGUUCGGAUCGGAGUCUGCAACCCGACUCCGUGAAGCUGGAUUCGCUAGUAA